AGAGUUUGAUCCUGGCUCAGGAUGAACGCUAGCGGCAGGCCUAACACAUGCAAGUCGAGGGGUAACAUAGAAAAGCUUGCUUUUCUGAUGACGACCGGCGCACGGGUGCGUAACGCGUAUACAACCUACCUUUUAGCGGGGAAUAGCCCAGGGAAACUUGGAUUAAUGCCCCAUAGUAUAUGGACUUCUCCUGAAGUUUAUAUUAAACAUUUAUGGCUAUUAGAUGGGUAUGCGUCCUAUUAGUUAGUUGGUAAGGUAACGGCUUACCAAGGCAGCGAUAGGUAGGGGUCCUGAGAGGGAGAUCCCCCACACUGGUACUGAGACACGGACCAGACUCCUACGGGAGGCAGCAGUGAGGAAUAUUGGACAAUGGGCGAGAGCCUGAUCCAGCCAUGCCGCGUGCAGGAAGACUGCCCUAUGGGUUGUAAACUGCUUUUACAGAGGAAGAACCACCCCCACGUGUGGGGGUUUGACGGUACUCUGCGAAUAAGGAUCGGCUAACUCCGUGCCAGCAGCCGCGGUAAUACGGAGGAUCCAAGCGUUAU
rnacentral:rRNA from 1 species